CAUGCCGUAAACGAUGAGUGCUAAGUGUUAGGGGUUUCCGCCCCUUAGUGCUGCAGCUAACGCAUUAAGCACUCCGCCUGGGGAGUACGACCGCAAGGUUGAAACUCAAAGGAAUUGACGGGGGCCCGCACAAGCGGUGGAGCAUGUGGUUUAAUUCGAAGCAACGCGAAGAACCUUACCAGGUCUUGACAUCCCGAUGACCGCUCUAGAGAUAGAGUUUUCCCUUCGGGGACAUUGGUGACAGGUGG
rnacentral:rRNA from 1 species